UACAGAGGGUGCAAGCGUUAAUCGGAAUUACUGGGCGUAAAGCGAGCGUAGUCGGUUAUUUAAGUCGGGUGUGAAAGCCCCGGGCUCAACCUGGGAAUUGCAUUCGAGACUGCGUAGCUAGGGUGCGGAAGGGGGAAGCGGAAUUUCCGGUGUAGCGGUGAAAUGCGUAGAUAUCGGAAGGAACACCAGUGGCGAAAGCGGCUUCCUGGUCCAGCACCGACGUUCAGGCACGAAAGCGUGGGGAGCAAACAGG
rnacentral:rRNA from 1 species